rnacentral:lncRNA from 1 species
CGCGAAACUGGCGCGCGCGCCUAGCUGGCGGGACCCUUAGCUCCAGGUGGACGCGGCCCGGACCCCGUGGAUAUGGAGCAGUCGCCGCCCCCGGCGCCCGAGCCGACCCAAGGGCCGACCCCCGCAAGGAGCCGAAGGCGGCGGGAGCCCGAGUCGCCGCCAGCGUCGGCGCAGUCAAAGAAGAUGGCCACGGAGACAGCAGCGUGGUCAGAGUGGUAGGAGCUGGCCAUCGGCGAGAGCUGCUCCAUGCCUGGCUGCUGGGUGCUAGAGCCUGUGGCCCACUGGCUUGCCUCACUGUGGUUGGUGGUGGUGGUGACAGAGACUGCAGCAUGACCAGAGUGG